GGGUCGAGAUCGUUCGAUUUUGAGCGAUAUCCGUGUACCACCUACUUCAGUCCGUACGAGUUUCCCUCGGCACCCUUCAGCAUGAAAAUAAUCAGUUUAUGAUAAGGAGCUGAAGCAUUGAGUGGAAAUGGCCUCCAGAGAAAUGAGUGAGGGAAAUGAUGCUCAGGAACAGUGUGUGGAGCUGUUGAAUCAGGCCUCACUGCUUCAAGAUGAGAGGCAGAAGGUGACCAAUCUGAAGAAGGUGCAGGAGCUGAUCAUCCACCAGGACCCAGCACUGUUAGACAACUUCCUUGAUGAAGUGGUAG